rnacentral:rRNA from 1 species
CCCUUAGAUGUCCUGGGCCGCACGCGCGUUACACUGAUGCAUUCAACGAGCUUAUAACCUUGGCCGAGAGGCCUGGGCAAUCUUGUUAACGGGCAUCGUGAUAGGGAUAGAUUAUUGAAAUUAUUAAUCUUGAACGAGGAAUUCCUAGUAAACGCAGAUCAUCAAUCUGCAUUGAUUACGUCCCUGCCCUUUGUACACACCGCCCGUCGCACCUACCGAUUGGAUGGUCCGGUGAAGCCUCGGGAUUGUGGUUCUUGCCGCUUUAUUGUGGCGUGACCGCGAGAACUUGUCUAAACCUUAUCAUCUAGAGGAAGGUGAAGUCGUAACA